rnacentral:rRNA from 1 species
CCUACGGGAGGCAGCAGUGGGGAAUCUUGCACAAUGGAGGAAACUCUGAUGCAGCGAUGCCGCGUGAGUGAAGAAGGCCCUUGGGUUGUAAAGCUCUUUCGUCGGGGAAGAAAAUGACUGUACC